UGAGUAUCUGCCAAUUGCAACUGCAAAUGGAAGCAUUCUGACUUGGUCUAUAUUAGGCAGUGUAUAUCCCAUACAGUAGUUCUGAUUAUUUUAUCUUCUUUGAUUUAUAUUUUAUUGAAUGUUUUGGUUGUCCUAGUUUAUACACGCACAUGCACUCCCACUUAUUUGUUAUAAAAAUGCUCAUGGCUGGGUUAUUUUGAAGUCAAUUGAUUUAAGCUUUUCGUUUACCUGAUAGCAGGGGAGGAUUUGGUAGAGGUCAGGGUCAUUCUGGUGGAAAUGAAACUGUUACUGGAAGGGCCUGUCCAAAAGGGCUUUAUGGUAUAUUCUGCGAGAAGAACAGUAUUAUCUUAGAGGUAGAGGGCAUGGCCAGCAGCUCUCUAUGAAUGAAAGACAUGAGGCAACAGAGAUGCAAAAGGAAACACGAGAGCAUACUCUACAAGCAAACAUAUUUUCAUCAUCACACAACUGUAGAUUCUACUUCUCCAUCAGAUGUUUCAGCAAACUGAUAGAUUUGUUUUAAAUUUUAUGAAUAUUGUUAAGUAUAUGGAUUUGUUCUAAACUUUCGAUUUUGUAAACAUUGUGAAGUAUUUGUGUGUAUGAAUAUGAAUUAUAAUGAUUAUGAAUGACUUUUAAUUUAUA